rnacentral:rRNA from 1 species
GCACAAGCGGUGGAGCAUGUGGUUUAAUUCGACGCAACGCGAAGAACCUUACCAGGGCUUGACAUCCUCUGACCGCAUAUGAAGUAUGUUUUCUGGCUUCGGUCAGACAGAGAGACAGGUGGUGCAUGGUUGUCGUCAGCUCGUGUCGUGAGAUGUUGGGUUAAGUCCCGCAACGAGCGCAACCCCUACGUUUAGUUGCUAACGUGUAACGAUGAGCACUCUAGGCGGACUGCCGUUGACAAAACGGAGGAAGGUGGGGAUGACGUCAAAUCAUCAUGCCCCUUAUGUUCUGGGCUACACACGUGCUACAAUGGCCGGUACAAAGGGACGCAAAGCCGCGAGGUGGAGCAAAUCCGAUAAAAGCCGGUCUCAGUUCGGAUUGCAGGCUGCAAUUCGCCUGCAUGAAGUCGGAAUCGCUAGUAAUCGCAGGUCAGCAUACUGCGGUGAAUACGUUCCCGGGCCUU